GGAUAUGAGGGCAAUCUGGCUGCGAUAUCUGUCACUCCAUUGAUUGCCAGGGUUGAUUUGGCUAUUCUGGCUGGCUAGGUGGGUGUCCCCUUUUUCCCUCACUGCUCCAUGUGCGUCCCUCCUGAAGCUGUGCGCUCAGUCAAAGAGGACAACCUUCCCCACUAGAGGAGGAUUGGUCUUUGGUCAAGGGUAUACAAGUAGCUGCACUCCCCUGCUAGAACCUCCAAACAAGCUCUCAAUGUGAAUUAAUGCUAUAACUAGUACUCAAACAGUAUUCUACACUUUAUGUUCUGUGUGGGUGCAAACUGU
rnacentral:snRNA from 1 species